GAUCAUGGCUCAGAACACGCUGGCGGCAGGCCUAACACAUGCAAGUCGAGCGCCCCGCAAGGGGAGCGGCGGACGGGUGAGUAACGCGUGGGAACGUGCCUCUUGCUACGGAAUAGCCUCGGGAAACUGGGAGUAAUACCGUAUGUGCCCUACGGGGGAAAGAUUUAUCGGCAAGAGAUCGGCCCGCGUUGGAUUAGGUAGUUGGUGGGGUAAUGGCCUACCAAGCCGACGAUCCAUAGCUGGUUUGAGAGGAUGAUCAGCCACACUGGGACUGAGACACGGCCCAGACUCCUACGGGAGGCAGCAGUGGGGAAUCUUAGACAAUGGGCGCAAGCCUGAUCUAGCCACGCCGCGUGAGCGAUGAAGGCCUUAGGGUUGUAAAGCUCUUUCAGUGGGGAAGAUAACGACUGUACCCACAGAAGAAGCCCCGGCUAACUCCGUG
rnacentral:rRNA from 1 species